ensembl:lncRNA
CAGAGCGAGAGACAGACAGACAGCGAGAGACAGACAGACAGAGCGAGAGAGAAAAGCAGUGGAAUGAAAUAAAUAUGAAAGAGCUAUCAAAUUCUGUGAUGGUGUGUGUGUGUACAUGUGUGUACCAGUAGCCCCUGUAUGAUGUGUGUGUGUGUGUGUGUACAUAGGUGUAGCCCCUGUAUGAUGGUGUGUGUGUGUGUGUGUGUGUAUGUACCAGUAGCCCCUGUAUGAUGGUGAUGGUGUGUGUGUAUGUAUGUGUAGCCCCUGUAUGAUGGUGUGUGUGUGUGUGUAUGUACGCAGUAGCCCCUGUAUGAUGGUGUGUGUGUGUGGUGUAUGUACCAGUAGCCCCUGUAUGAUGGUGUGUG